AUUGAACGCUGGCGGCAGGCCUAACACAUGCAAGUCGAACGGUAACAGAAAGCAGCUUGCUGCUUUGCUGACGAGUGGCGGACGGGUGAGUAAUGUCUGGGAAACUGCCUGAUGGAGGGGGAUAACUACUGGAAGCGGUAGCUAAUACCGCAUAACGUCGCAAGACCAAAGAGGGGGACCUUCGGGCCUCUUGCCAUCGGAUGUGCCCAGAUGGGAUUAGCUAGUAGGUGGGGUAAAGGCUCACCUAGGCGACGAUCCCUAGCUGGUCUGAGAGGAUGACCAGCCACACUGGAACUGAGACACGGUCCAGACUCCUACGGGAGGCAGCAGUGGGGAAUAUUGCACAAUGGGCGCAAGCCUGAUGCAGCCAUGCCGCGUGUAUGAAGAAGGCCUUCGGGUUGUAAAGUACUUUCAGCGGGGAGGAAGGGAGUAAAGUUAAUACCUUUGCUCAUUGACGUUACCCGCAGAAGAAGCACCGGCUAACUCCGUG
rnacentral:rRNA from 1 species